AGAAGUAAAAAGAAAGGAAGGAGAUAUGUUAAUUGGAAUAAGGAGGAUGAAAAGGUUGUAAGAACAUACUUCAAGGAUUAUGUCGAAGACGUGUCUAAAGAAAAGUCCAAAGGAUCACUACCUGGUUUUAAGGCCAUUGAAGUAUUUAUGAAAAAAUAUCCAAAAGUAAUGGCCAAUGAAACAGACCCUGUUAUUAGAAGAGAUCUUAUAAAAUACAAAGUCUUCAAUGAAAGAAAUAAGACCAGGAAAAAUUAUCAGCAGAGGAAGAAUAAAUAUUCUAUGUAAGGUAGUGCAGCAGGUCUUCAUUACAUGACUGGUGCAAAACAUGAUGCAGUUUAUGGUAAGCUUAUAAACUAUUUGUUUACUACUUAAACUAACAUGAUGUUCCUCUCCAAGAGUACAGAAGUAUUGUAUACUACAAAACUGUUUUCAUGCCUGCUACUGAGAUAUUGUAUACUACAAGACUGUUUCCACACCUGAUACAG